GGUUAAGCGACUAAGCGUACACGGUGGAUGCCUAGGCAAUCAGAGGCGAUGAAGGACGUGCUAAUCUGCGAUAAGCGUCGGUAAGGUGAUAUGAACCGUGAUAACCGACGAUUUCCGAAUGGGGAAACCCAGUGCAAUUCGUUGCACUAUCGUUUGAUGAAUACAUAGUCAAACGAAGCGAACCGGGGGAACUGAAACAUCUCAGUACCCCGAGGAAAAGAAAUCAACCGAGAUUCCCCUAGUAGCGGCGAGCGAACGGGGAGCAGCCCAGAGUCUUAAUCAACAUUAGCAUCAGGAGAACGGUCUGGAAAGGCCGGCAGUAAAGGGUGAUAGCCCCGUAUCCGAAGGUGUUAGUGUUGUGAACUCGACGAGUAGGGCGGGACACGUGUUAUCCUGUCUGAAUAUGGGGGGACCAUCCUCCAAGGCUAAAUACUCCUGAUUGACCGAUAGUGAACCAGUACCGUGAGGGAAAGGCGAAAAGAACCCCGGCGAGGGGAGUGAAAUAGAACCUGAAACCGUGUACGUACAAGCAGUGGGAGCCCCACCACCAAAGCAUUUUCUGGUGUUGAGGACAACUUUGAAGUGACAUUCAACACGCGUUGGCGGAGCGUUUUUUGCGACGCCGAACACACAAAACAAGCAGUGAAUGUGCUUUGGGGUGGGGUGACUGCGUACCUUUUGUAUAAUGGGUCAGCGACUUAUAUUCUGUAGCAAGGUUAACCGUAUAGGGGAGCCGUAGGGAAACCGAGUCUUAACUGGGCGAAUGAGUUGCAGGGUAUAGACCCGAAACCCGGUGAUCUAGCCAUGGGCAGGUUGAAGGUUGGGUAACACUAACUGGAGGACCGAACCGACUAAUGUUGAAAAAUUAGCGGAUGACUUGUGGCUGGGGGUGAAAGGCCAAUCAAACCGGGAGAUAGCUGGUUCUCCCCGAAAGCUAUUUAGGUAGCGCCUCGUGAACUCAUCUUCGGGGGUAGAGCACUGUUUCGACUAGGGGGUCAUCCCGACUUACCAACUCGAUGCAAACUACGAAUACCGAAGAAUGUUAUCACGGGAGACACACGGCGGGUGCUAACGUUCGUCGUGAAGAGGGAAACAACCCAGACCGCCAGCUAAGGUCCCAAAGUCAUAGUUAAGUGGGAAACGAAGUGGGAAGGCUCAGACAGCCAGGAUGUUGGCUUAGAAGCAGCCAUCAUUUAAAGAAAGCGUAAUAGCUCACUGGUCGAGUCGGCCUGCGCGGAAGAUGUAACGGGGCUAAACUAUGCACCGAAGCUGCGGCAGCGAUAUGUAAAUAUUGUUGGGUAGGGGAGCGUUCUGUAAGCCUGUGAAGGUGUGCUGUGAGGCAUGCUGGAGGUAUCAGAAGUGCGAAUGCUGACAUAAGUAACGAUAAUGCGGGUGAAAAACCCGCACGCCGGAAGACCAAGGGUUCCUGUCCAACGUUAAUCGGGGCAGGGUGAGUCGACCCCUAAGG
rnacentral:rRNA from 1 species